CAAUCUUGCGCCACGUUCUUUCAAUAUGGAGAUUUCGGUCCUGUCGCGCGGAAUCUGCAUUAUGGCACCGGUGAUUCGUGAUCGCGCAACGUUUCGAAAUCUCGUAUCGUGUUUGUUAUUCGGUUUCGCUAUGAGUUCGUGCGGUCUAGUUUUCUAUCAUAUGUAUAGUUAUAAAUUGUGUAGUUAUAUUCUUGUAGAAGUUAUAAGAAUUUUAUGUUUAAUGAAAUAUUAUUUAAAUGUAUAUAAUGAUAAUAUAUAUAAUGAUUUAUUCAUUGUAAUUUAUAUACAUGUUUCUAAUAUUUUAUUAAAUAUAAAAUUCUUAUGCCUUUUAUAAGAAUAUAACGAUAUGUAAAUGUAAAAUUCUUAUAACCUCAUGACCUGUCGCUCUCGAAUACCUUCUAUUGACUAAACUGAAACAGGAAGGUUCAGUCUUAUAUUAUAUUUCCUUUUUUUCUUAAUUCAGAGCAUUUAUGUGAGCGAGACAAGGGAAUACAAUAGAGAUGCACGUGGCGCCGCGAUUUAUUAACGGAACGCGGAUUUUUAUGAAAAUAUAAAUUUUUAUAUUCACGUUUUCAUUUCUGUGUCCUUUGUUAGAAGUUUUAUUGUCGUAGUGGUGGUAUAAGAAUUAUUUUCAAUUUCAUUGAAAUUUCUUAUUUUAUUGUGCUUUUUACGUUUAUGAGUUCUGUGACUUUAUGGAAUCGGCAAUCUAUUUAUUAAGCAUCGUUCGUUGAAUAGUGGCUCUGGAAAAGGAAAGUAUCCAACGAUGAAUUAAACCAAAUGGUCCAAUUACGUAACAAUUUCACUUAACCGAUGUUUGUCCUUUAAGCAGGAGCUGUCCAAGCUUUACUUGCGGUUAAAACGAGCUUCCCCUGCCCUGCUUUUGUUGUCAAGGAAACCAAGACGCUAAGCAUGGUGGCAUCUAUUGCAAUCUAUGGCAAACGCGAGAAUCUCAGGUCUCUGUCUUCUACUGUUACCGCUGUCUCACGUUAGCAAUGAUGAAUGAAGGCAGAGCGAAGCGUGUCGGGGUUUUCAACCCUGGACAGUGUGGCUUUAGAUUAUCUCGUGAGAGUCCACGUCAAAAACAUAAUGUAUCGUAAACUCUGGGGAUACAUUACAUUACGAUAACGAAAACUACGGGAAAAGACCAUAUAUUCCACAAGAAAUAGUUGGCAAGUAAUGGAUCGAUUUAAUUUUUUUAUCGUGUUGUAUAGUGCACGAUCUAAAUUUUUAAUGUCUAUUAUAUAAAAUGGAAACCAGUGAUGUGCCUCAUAAAAGGUUUCAUAAGGAGAUGACAAACUAUACUAUCGGAUAUUAAGAACAAAUAGAAACUAAGAUAACUGACUUAUGGUAAUUUCAUAGUAAGAAAUCAAAAGAAUAUUGUUCUACAUAUAAUAUUAAAUCAUCAACAUCGAAAUAUUAAAAAAACAUUUGCUCUUUUUUUUAAUUAGGUUAUCAAAAAUCCUUUCUCACAAAGAAUUAAGUCCUAUUUGACUUCAACGAGUCAUAACACCAUAUCGAGUGACCUCAACGAAAAAUACAAACACAUAUACAUACUCAAAAUAGGUAGAACCUCCGCUUUUAGAUUUAAUUGUU